rnacentral:tRNA from 4 species
GCCCUGAUGGUGUAGUGGUUUAGCAUACGACCCUGUCACGGUCGUGACCUGGGUUCAAAUCCCAGUCAGGGCG